rnacentral:rRNA from 1 species
AUUGAACGCUGGCGGCAGGCCUAACACAUGCAAGUCGAACGGUAACAGGAAGCAGCUUGCUGCUUUGCUGACGAGUGGCGGACGGGUGAGUAAUGUCUGGGAAACUGCCUGAUGGAGGGGGAUAACUACUGGAAACGGUAGCUAAUACCGCAUAACGUCGCAAGACCAAAGAGGGGGACCUUCGGGCCUCUUGCCAUCGGAUGUGCCCAGAUGGGAUUAGCUAGUAGGUGGGGUAACGGCUCACCUAGGCGACGAUCCCUAGCUGGUCUGAGAGGAUGACCAGCCACACUGGAACUGAGACACGGUACAGACUCCUACGGGAGGCAGCAGUGGGGAAUAUUGCACAAUGGGCGCAAGCCUGAUGCAGCCAUGCCGCGUGUAUGAAGAAGGCCUUCGGGUUGUAAAGUACUUUCAGCGGGGAGGAAGGGAGUAAAGUUAAUACCUUUGCUCAUUGACGUUACCCGCAGAAGAAGCACCGGCUAACUCCGU